rnacentral:rRNA from 1 species
GUACACGAGUGGCGAACGGGUGAGUAACACGUGGGUGACCUGCCCUGCACUUCGGGAUAAGCCUGGGAAACUGGGUCUAAUACCGGAUAGGACCGCACCGUGAGGGUGUGGUGGAAAGUUUUUCGGUGUGGGAUGGGCCCGCGGCCUAUCAGCUUGUUGGUGGGGUAAUGGCCUACCAAGGCGGCGACGGGUAGCCGGCCUGAGAGGGUGGACGGCCACAUUGGGACUGAGACACGGCCCAG